rnacentral:rRNA from 1 species
CACGUAGGGCGCAAGCGUUGUCCGGAAUUAUUGGGCGUAAAGAGCUCGUAGGCGGUCUGUUGCGUCCGCUGUGAAAUCUCGGGGCUUAACCCCGAGCCUGCAGUGGAUACGGGCAGACUAGAGGUAGGUAGGGGAGAAUGGAAUUCCCGGUGUAGCGGUGAAAUGCGCAGAUAUCGGGAGGAACACCGGUAGCGAAGGCGGUUCUCUGGGCCUUACCUGACGCUGAGGAGCGAAAGCGUGGGGAGCGAACAGG